rnacentral:lncRNA from 1 species
GGAUCAUAGCAGACUCUGCCUAUGGAGGCCUGGGGUCCCUUUGGCAGCACUUUUGUCAAGAAAGUAGAGUCGUGGACAACCAACUGCACAGGUUGGGAGAAAGCCAGUGCUCAGUGGGGUGUGAGAUGCCAAAUGACCAGACUCUCCAGGGUUCAGCAGCGUGACUAUAAAGAGAAGAAUGCUUUCAAAGAAUUCAAAAAGGC